rnacentral:rRNA from 1 species
CCAGACUCCUACGGGAGGCAGCAGUGGGGAAUAUUGGGCAAUGGGCGCAAGCCUGACCCAGCAACGCCGCGUGAAGGAAGAAGGCUUUCGGGUUGUAAACUUCUUUUAAGAGGGAAGAGUAGAAGACGGUACCUCUUGAAUAAGCCACGGCUAACUACGUGCCAGCAGCCGCGGUAAUACGUAGGUGGCAAGCGUUGUCCGGAUUUACUGGGUGUAAAGGGCGUGUAGCCGGGUUAACAAGUCAGAUGUGAAAACCACGGGCUCAACCUGUGGCCUGCAUUUGAAACUGUAGUUCUUGAGUACUGGAGAGGCAGACGGAAUUCCUAGUGUAGCGGUGAAAUGCGUAGAUAUUAGGAAGAACACCAGUGGCGAAGGCGGCUUUCUGGACUGAAACUGGCGCUGAGACACGAAAGCGUGGGAAGCGAACAGGAUUAGAUACCCGUGUAA